GAAAGGACUCAAAUACAAUUGACUGAUCAAAAAGUACCGAAUUCUUCAAUCAAUAGUUUCCAUUCCAAAGAAGUCCUGCUGAUCGACGAUAAGAGGGUGUUGGCCAGAGAAUGAGAAACUGCGAGUUCCGAGUAUCUAAAAAGAAGAAUGAAUGUGUACAGUGACCCCGGCUAUAAGAUGUAUUCAUUAGCCAGUCAUUGCUCACGGCCUCCAAAACUGGAAGGAGAAAGGCGCGAUGACAGCCACAGAGAGGAAAGCGGAAAAGAGGUUUCCAAGUGCUGUUGAUGUUUGUUGGAAUACUUUAUUUCCAGUGACUUAAAAGGAAAACUGAACAUCGGGGUCCCUCUCUCGAGGAGGAGAAGGGAUGAGAAGCCAGCAGUGUGCUGACCGCAAUUAAGGAGAUGCCCAGAAGUGUUUCAGCUGGUAAUGUCCUGGGCAGGUCGACUCGUGUCUGUUUGUUUUAACUGUUUACUUUCCUCCCUGACAGUCCGGCGUGCCUGUGAAGUCAAAGACCACCCCCCACCAAGCCACUUCCUUUUCUUGAAAGCAAAAAAGGCCGGAAGAGUGAAAAAGAACCUCAACACAGCUGCAUCGGUGCAGUGGACUGGAUGCUACAAACUGUGAAUCUGGCAAAAGGGAAGUCCGCCAAAGCCGACGUCUCUAUCAUCCAGGACAAAGCUCAGAUGAGGUAACUGAGGCACCGAGAAGUUAAG